rnacentral:sRNA from 2 species
CACCGCAAUGCACCGAAAGCUGACAAGGCAUCAGGGGGCAGGGACGGGGGAACCAAUCCCGGUCCGCACCAGCGUCGCGCCCCACGGGCGACGUGGACCUUGGGGUGAAGCCACUCAGGUGGCCGGGCAGCCUUCCCGCCCGAACCCGACAGCUAACCUCGCAGGCGUGCCGGAGGGAAAAC